AUUGAACGCUGGCGGCAUGCCUUACACAUGCAAGUCGAACGGCAGCACGGGAGCAAUCCUGGUGGCGAGUGGCGAACGGGUGAGUAAUGUAUCGGAACGUGCCCAGUCGUGGGGGAUAACGCAGCGAAAGCUGUGCUAAUACCGCAUACGAUCUAUGGAUGAAAGCGGGGGAUCGCAAGACCUCGCGCGAUUGGAGCGGCCGAUAUCAGAUUAGGUAGUUGGUGGGGUAAAGGCCCACCUAGGCGACGAUCCCUAGCUGGUCUGAGAGGAUGACCAGCCACACUGGAACUGAGACACGGUCCAGACUCCUACGGGAGGCAGCAGUGGGGAAUAUUGCACAAUGGGCGCAAGCCUGAUCCAGCCAUUCCGCGUGCAGGACGAAGGCCUUCUGGUUGUAAACUGCUUUUGUACGGAACGAAAAGGCUCUGGUUAAUACCUGGGGCUCAUGACGGUACCGUAAGAAUAAGCACCGGCUAACUACGUGCCAGCAGCCGCGGUAA
rnacentral:rRNA from 1 species